rnacentral:rRNA from 1 species
CAGCCGCCGCGGUAAUACGAAGGGUGCAAGCGUUAAUCGGAAUUACUGGGCGUAAAGCGUGCGUAGGCGGUGAGUUAAGUCUGCUGUGAAAUCCCCGGGCUCAACCUGGGAAUGGCAGUGGAUACUGGCUCGCUAGAGUGUGUCAGAGGAUGGUGGAAUUCCCGGUGUAGCGGUGAAAUGCGUAGAGAUCGGGAGGAACAUCAGUGGCGAAGGCGGCCAUCUGGGACAACACUGACGCUGAGGCACGAAAGCGUGGGGAGCAAACAGGAUUAGAUACCCGAGUAGUCCCUGUCUCUUAUAC